CACCCAGCGGGGCAGGCGCCAGGCGCCGGUCGGAAUUGGAACAGGGGCCGACCAUGUGCCCGCCGGGGAAGCGCAGGGGCCGGAUGUCGGGGGACAUUCGGCCCCUUUUUU
rnacentral:antisense_RNA from 1 species